rnacentral:rRNA from 1 species
AUUGAACGCUGGCGGCAGGCCUAACACAUGCAAGUCGAGCGAGCGGCGGACGUGUGAGUCAUGUAUGGGGACUGCCCGCUAGAGGGGGAUAACUACUGGCAACGGUGGCUAAUACCGCAUACUAUCGGAUAACCCAUAUGGGAUUGUCUAGUGGGUGGGGUAAAGGCUCACCUAGGCGACGAUCUCUAGCUGGUCUGAGAGGAUGAUCAGCCACACUGGGACGGAGACACGGCCCAGAGUCCUACGGAGGCAGCAGUGGGGAAUAUUGCACAAUGGGCGCAAGCCGGAUGCAGCCAUGCCGCGUGUAUGAAGAAGGCCUUAGGGUUGUAAAGUACUUUCAGCGGGGAGGCGUGAAGCGAAGAAGAAGCACCGGCUAACUCCGUGCCAGCAGCCGCGGUAAUAG